UUGCAACUUUAAACUCGUAAUAUUGCAACUUUAUUAUCAUAAUAUAAUGAGUUUAAUUUCAUAUUCUGACUUUAAUCUUGUCAUUUUAUGAUUGUAUUCUCAUAAUAUUAUGACUUUGAUUUCGUAAUAUUACGACUUUUAAUUUCAAUUACGAUUUUUUAAUUUUUUUGCUUAUAUUAUUAACUCUCUAUUAUAUGCACAAUGACCACAGAUACUAGAACUUUGUGUAAACACUAAUAAAGCUUAAUUGUAAUAUCAGGCAAAUAAAUAAUAAAAAUAAACAGAAAAGUAGUGCAUCAAUUAAUCUGGUAAAUAGAAUAUUUAGAAUUGAGUGUUUUGGAAUGCUUUUGACUAUUAGAAUUAAAAAAAUAAUAAGGAUGGUACUUUAAUACCAUAUUAAAUUCAGUCCUUCUUCCAGCCCUGGCUUAAGCACAGUGAAGGCAGUGAGACUCUGACUUACAGAUCCCCUCGAUCCUCUUACAGAUCCCUAUUCCGUGAAGCCUUCAGUAGCUCAGGCAGUGGUGAACCGCCCCUUUAAACUCACGUGUGAUGGCGCCACUCCAGCAGUCACUAUAAUCUGGCUUAUGGAUGGAGAACCUCUUACCCUAAACUCCAGGAUGAGACUGUCGCCGGACAACAUCACGCUGUCCUUCAGAUUCCUGCAGGAGAGCGACAGCAAACAGUUCCAGUGCCGGGUCCUUAAUGGAAGCGCCAGCGUCAUAAGCAAGGAUUACUGGAUUGACUUUCACAAUUAAAGGGUGAUUACGGCAAGGCCAAGCCAGACUGUAGUGGGCAUUGAAAGUGUGUUCACCUGCACAGCUCAGUGCGGGGUGUUCUGCACUGGGCAGUGGGCGCCGCCCAGCGGCUUUCCCAAAGGAAAAUUCUUAGCAGAGGGACCCAACAUAUACUGGACUCCCUCUGAAGCCGGACAGACCCAGGUCUUCACCUGCCUCGCACUGAACCCGUCACUGGAGAUGCUGCAAAAUAGCUCCAUAACCGUGACUGUUAUGGCAGAUGAGAAACCACGCCCCAGUCCCAAUAAUGCAAUCUCAGUCAUGUCCAGUGCUGCAGCGGUGAUCUGUGCCACUCUGCUGAUGCUGAUUUGUGCAUGGACCUAAAGGGGGCGCUACAGGGGCAGAAUGGCAGAAUCUCGAGGAGUAAACACAGAGAGUAUUAAUAUGCACUGUUAGCUCUAUGCUGUUAUAAAAAAAAUAAUAAAUAUAUGUAUAUAUAUAUUUUUAAAUAUUAGUAGUAAAGUGCCAUGCUUAGCUUCUGCAUUUACAUCCCUUCACAUUACCCGGAACAGUUAAUACAGUUUGAAGAAAUACUUUGUUCUCAGUAAAAAAAAAAAAUGCAACUGAAGGUGAAUGAAGUUUAGAAGACACAUUUGCACCUGUUAUGCAAAUUAAUGGUACAAGGAGCCACAAGAAAUGAUGUAAUUUUUGUUAGGUUAUGUUAUAAAAGUAUGUUUUUUUUCGUGUGUCUCAGCUGUUUAGUUUAAUAAAGUAAUAUUAACUCAAA